UACGUAGGUGGCAAGCGUUGUCCGGAUUUACUGGGCGUAAAGCGCGCGCAGGCGGGCUGGUCAGUCUGGGGUGAAAUCUCACGGCUCAACCGUGAGAGGUCCCUGGAUACUGCUAGCCUUGAGGGGCUCAGAGGAGAGUGGAAUUCCGGGUGUAGUGGUGGAAUGCGCAGAUAUCAGGAGGAACACCGAUGGCGAAGGCAGGUCACUGGGCCACUACUGACGCUGAGGAGCGAAAGCAUGGGGAGCGAACAGG
rnacentral:rRNA from 1 species